rnacentral:rRNA from 1 species
UACGUAGGGGGCUAGCGUUGUCCGGAAUCAUUGGGCGUAAAGAGCGUGUAGGCGGCCCGGUAAGUCCGCUGUAAAAGUCAAAGGCUCAACCCUUUGAAUGUCAGUGGAUACUGCCGGGCUAGAGUCCGGAAGAGGCGAGUGGAACUCCUGGUGUAGCGGUGGAAUGCGCAGAUAUCAGGAAGAACACCAACGGCGAAGGCAGCUCGCUAGGACGGUACUGACGCUGAGACGCGAAAGCGUGGGGAGCGAACAGG